UACGUAGGGGGCAAGCGUUGUCCGGAAUCAUUGGGCGUAAAGAGCGUGUAGGCGGCCAGAUAAGUCCGCUGUGAAAUCUCGAGGCUCAACUUCGAGCUGUCGGUGGAAACUGUCGGGCUAGAGUCCGGAAGAGGAGAAUGGAAUUCCUGGUGUAGCGGUGAAAUGCGCAGAUAUCAGGAAGAACACCCGUGGCGAAGGCGGUUCUCUGGGACGGUACUGACGCUGAGACGCGAAAGCGUGGGGAGCGAACAGG
rnacentral:rRNA from 1 species